rnacentral:pre_miRNA from 1 species
AAAAAAAGCAAACACUGGGUUUCCGUGCCAAUAUUUGACUGUCUGUCUUAUAUGAAAUUUUUUUGUAAUUAGUAUUUUCAUUGUUGUUAGAUGAUAAAACAAGAUUAAUACUUUAUGCGUGACUUAUCUUUUUAAUUUUUUUCAAAUAAGACGGACGGUCAAACGUUGGACACGGAAACCAGGGUUUGUCUUUUU